UCCCAGUGAAGAAAUGUUCAAGGCUAUACCUUCUGUCCUAGUCCCAGAUCCUGUAAAGGUGAACUCACUGGGCCGGCUGGGGAAAGGAAGAAAGUUUGUUACAAAAGGAAUUGUCUGAGGGAG